rnacentral:tRNA from 1 species
GGGCUGGGGCUCAGUGGCUGAGGGCUCGCCUCACAUGCGUGAGGCACUGGGUUCGAUCCUCAGCACCACA